AUACAGUUGACGAGUCCCAAAUAAGACGAAACGUGCGUCGUGGAU
rnacentral:hammerhead_ribozyme from 1 species